rnacentral:rRNA from 1 species
GACAGCAGCAGCCGCGGUAAUACGUAGGGUGCAAGCGUUAAUCGGAAUUACUGGGCGUAAAGCGUGCGCAGGCGGUUAUAUAAGACAGAUGUGAAAUCCCCGGGCUCAACCUGGGAACUGCAUUUGUGACUGUAUAGCUAGAGUACGGCAGAGGGGGAUGGAAUUCCGCGUGUAGCAGUGAAAUGCGUAGAUAUGCGGAGGAACACCGAUGGCGAAGGCAAUCCCCUGGGCCUGUACUGACGCUCAUGCACGAAAGCGUGGGGAGCAAACAGGAUUAGAUACCCGCGUAGUCCCUGUCUCUUAUAC